UUAUGAAUUAAAAAAAUUAUGCUGGAGUAGUAAUAGUUAUGGACUUGAAACUUAAAGAAUUUGGCGGUAUCUUAGUCCAUUUAGAGGAAUCUGUCCCGUAAUCGAUAGUCCACGUUAAACCUUACUUAAGUCUAUGGUUUGUAUACCGCCGUAUAUGAAAAUCUUUUUAGAGUUGAUUUUCUAGAGAUUUUAUAGAUAGUAUUUCAGGUCAAGGUGCAAUUUAUAUUUAAGUGGCGAUGGAUUACAAUAUGAAAUUAGUUAAACGGAAUAUAGAAUUAAAUAUUUAUAUAAAGGUGGAUUUAAUAGUAAUGUUAUAUAGACUAUUAACUUGAUUAAGGCUCUAGGAUGUGC
rnacentral:rRNA from 1 species